rnacentral:rRNA from 1 species
UACAGAGGGUGCGAGCGUUGUUCGGAAUUAUUGGGCGUAAAGGGCGCGUAGGCGGCCUGGCAAGUGGAUGGUGAAAUCCCUCGGCUUAACCGAGGAACUGCCAUCCAGACUGCUUGGCUUGAGACCGGGAGAGGUGAGUGGAAUUCCCAGUGUAGCGGUGAAAUGCGUAGAUAUUGGGAGGAACACCAGAGGCGAAGGCGGCUACCUGGACAAUUGCUGACGCUCAGGCACGAAAGCGUGGGGAGCAAAAGGG